rnacentral:sRNA from 1 species
AUGCGAUGAGCCGAAUGUGGCAGUAGCCACUUUCACGCUAGGGAGGUCAAUACGCAGGAGCGGACCUUGAUAAGUUGUGUGAACCUGCUUAUCACACGAAAGUGCCCUUAGACCAGGAGAAAUCUUGGUCUUUUUU